rnacentral:rRNA from 1 species
GGCCCCCUGGACAAAGACUGACGCUCAGGUGCGAAAGCGUGGGGAGCAAACAGGAUUAGAUACCUGGUAGUCCACGCCGUAAACGAUGUCGAUUUGGAGGUUGUGCCCUUGAGGCGUGGCUUCCGGAGCUAACGCGUUAAAUCGACCGCCUGGGGAGUACGGCCGCAAGGUUAAAACUCAAAUGAAUUGACGGGGGCCCGCACAAGCGGUGGAGCAUGUGGUUUAAUUCGAUGCAACGCGAAGAACCUUACCUGGUCUUGACAUCCACAGAACUUUCCAGAGAUGGAUUGGUGCCUUCGGGAACUGUGAGACAGGUGCUGCAUGGCUGUCGUCAGCUCGUGUUGUGAAAUGUUGGGUUAAGUCCCGCAACGAGCGCAACCCUUAUCCUUUGUUGCCAGCGGUCCGGCCGGGAACUCAAAGGAGACUGCCAGUGAUAAACUGGAGGAAGGUGGGGAUGACGUCAAGUCAUCAUGGCCCUUACGACCAGGGCUACACACGUGCUACAAUGGCAUAUACAAAGAGAAGCGACCUCGCGAGAGCAAGCGGACCUCAUAAAGUAUGUCGUAGUCCGGAUUGGAGUCUGCAACUCGACUCCAUGAAGUCGGAAUCGCUAGUAAUCGUAGAUCAGAAUGCUACGGUGAAUACGUUCCCGGGCCUUGUACACACCGCCCGUCACACCAUGGGAGUGGGUUGCAAAAGAAGUAGGUAGCUUAA